rnacentral:misc_RNA from 1 species
UGCUCAUAAGCUUCCCCAAACUUGAGUAUGGCUCGCGUCAACAUUCUAAUUGAAUUCCCCCACCCCUUCCUUUCCUUCACUCCCUUUGUAUUCACUCCUCUCUGCACCCCCCUUGGCUUCUUCUCCGGUGGCAAACUAUCAUCAGAGUCUGGAAAAUUCUCCUCCUCCUCCGAAGAUGACUCAGUCUCCACCUGAGUGCGUUUUCGAAACUGUGAUUUCACAUUCUGAUUCUUCGUGACUGGAUUGCUCCUCAUUUGCGCCUUACCUUGAUGCAACUGAUAUUGGUUAGACCCACUAGCUCCACCACUGCGAAUCCCAACAGGAAUUCCUACCGGGACUUUGCUAGACAAAGAAGCGGCAGCAGCGGUUGCAGUAACAGGGAUCUUGGCGGCUGGACC